UACGAGGGGGGCAAGCGUUGUUCGGAAUUAUUGGGCGUAAAGGGCGCGUAGGCGGUUUGACAAGUCUGGUGUGAAAUCUCUGGGCUCAACCCAGAGUCUGCAUUAGAAACUGUCGGGCUUGAGUAUGGGAGAGGUGAGUGGAAUUUCCGGUGUAGCGGUGAAAUGCGUAGAUAUCGGAAGGAACACCUGUGGCGAAAGCGGCUCACUGGACCAUAACUGACGCUGAGGCGCGAAAGCUAGGGGAGCAAACAGG
rnacentral:rRNA from 1 species